rnacentral:rRNA from 1 species
GUGGGGUAUAUUGGGCAAUGGGCGAAAGCCUGACCCAGCAACGCCGCGUGAAGGAAGAAGGUUUUCGGAUCGUAAACUUCUAUCCUUGGUGAAGAUAAUGACGGUAGCCAAGAAGGAAGCCCCGGCUAACUACGUGCCAGCAGCCGCGGUAAUACGUAGGGGGCAAGCGUUGUCCGGAAUGAUUGGGCGUAAAGGGCGCGUAGGCGGCCCGGUAAGUCUGAAGUAGAAGUCCUGCUUUUAAGGUGGGAAUUGCUUUGGAUACUGUCGGGCUUGAGUGCAGGAGAGGUAAGCGGAAUUCCCGGUGUAGCGGUGAAAUGCGUAGAGAUCGGGAGGAACACCAGUGGCGAAGGCGGCUUACUGGACUGUAACUGACGCUGAGGCGCGAAAGUGUGGGGAGCAAACAGGAUUAGAAACCCCAGUAGUCC